UACGUAGGGGGCAAGCGUUGUCCGGAUUUAUUGGGCGUAAAGAGCGUGUAGGCGGCUAUACAGGUCCGUUGUGAAAACUCGAGGCUUAACCUCGAGACGUCGAUGGAAACCGUAUGGCUAGAGUCCGGAAGAGGAGAGUGGAAUUCCUGGUGUAGCGGUGAAAUGCGCAGAUAUCAGGAAGAACACCCGUGGCGAAGGCGGCUCUCUGGGACGGUACUGACGCUGAGACGCGAAAGCGUGGGGAGCGAACAGG
rnacentral:rRNA from 1 species